UACGGAGGGAGCUAGCGUUGUUCGGAAUUACUGGGCGUAAAGCGUACGUAGGCGGUUAUUCAAGUCAGAGGUGAAAGCCCGGGGCUCAACCCCCGGAACGGCCUUUGAAACUAGGUAGCUAGAAUCUUGGAGAGGUCAGUGGAAUUCCGAGUGUAGAGGUGAAAUGCGUAGAUAUUGGAAAGACCACCAAUGGCGAAGGCACUCUACUGGGCCAUUACUGACACUGAGAGACGAAAGCUAGGGGGAGCAAAUGGG
rnacentral:rRNA from 1 species